rnacentral:rRNA from 1 species
AUUGAACGCUGGCGGCAGGCCUAACACAUGCAAGUCGAGCGGAUGAAGGGAGCUUGCUCCUGGAUUCAGCGGCGGACGGGUGAGUAAUGCCUAGGAAUCUGCCUGGUAGUGGGGGAUAACGUCCGGAAACGGGCGCUAAUACCGCAUACGUCCUGAGGGAGAAAGUGGGGGAUCUUCGGACCUCACGCUAUCAGAUGAGCCUAGGUCGGAUUAGCUAGUUGGUGGGGUAAAGGCCUACCAAGGCGACGAUCCGUAACUGGUCGGAGAGGAUGAUCAGUCACACGGGAACAGAGCCACGGUCCAGACGCCACCGGGAGGAAGCAGUGGGGAAUAUGAGAAAAUGGGCGAAAGAUUGAACAAGACAUGCAGUGGGUGGGAAGAAGGUCUUCUGAUUGUAUAGCACUUUAAGCUGGGAGGAAGGACAGUAAGUUAAUACCUUGCUGUUUUGACGUUACCAACAGAGUAAGAACCGGCUAACUUCGUG